CCUACGGGAGGCAGCAGUGGGGAAUUUUGGACAAUGGGCGCAAGCCUGAUCCAGCAAUGCCGCGUGAGUGAAGAAGGCCUUCGGGUUGUAAAGCUCUUUUGUCAGGGAAGAAACGGUGGGGGCUAAUAUCUCCUACUAAUGACGGUACCUGAAGAAUAAGCACCGGCUAACUACGUGCCAGCAGCCGCGGUAAUACGUAGGGUGCAAGCGUUAAUCGGAAUUACUGGGCGUAAAGCGUGCGCAGGCGGUUUUGUAAGUCUGUCGUGAAAGCCCCGGGCUCAACCUGGGAAUUGCGAUGGAGACUGCAAGGCUUGAAUCUGGCAGAGGGGGGUAGAAUUCCACGUGUAGCAGUGAAAUGCGUAGAGAUGUGGAGGAACACCGAUGGCGAAGGCAGCCCCCUGGGUCAAGAUUGACGCUCAUGCACGAAAGCGUGGGGAGCAAACAGGAUUAGAUACCCUGGUAGUCCACGCCCUAAACGAUGUCUACUAGUUGUCGGGUUUUAAUUAACUUGGUAACGCAGCUAACGCGUGAAGUAGACCGCCUGGGGAGUACGGUCGCAAGAUUAAAACGCAAAGGAAUUGACGG
rnacentral:rRNA from 1 species